UUGCAGUCAAUUAAGCCGACUGUGCUCUUUUCCCCAUGGGGGCCCGGUACGCAAUGGCUGCAAACAGAAGCCUCCUCAGUAGUGUAUGCAGCCUGUUGCCUGUAAUGGGUUGCCCUAAGGAACCUUGGAGACAGCC